UGCGUAGGCGGCCUGGUAAGUCUGGAGUGAAAGUCCUGCUUUUAAGGUGGGAAUUGCUUUGGAUACUGCUGGGCUUGAGUGCAGGAGAGGUAAGUGGAAUUCCCGGUGUAGCGGUGAAAUGCGUAGAGAUCGGGAGGAACACCAGUGGCGAAGGCGACUUACUGGACUGUAACUGACGCUGAGGCGCGAAAGUGUGGGGAGCAAACA
rnacentral:rRNA from 1 species